GGAGAAGCAAAGUGAUGAACAGCAUUGCUGGAGCCCCAGAGAGGCACAGUGUGUGUGCCUGUGUGUAUGUCUGUAUCCUUGUCUGUGCAUGCACACGUGAGUCUGAGGAUGGGUGUGGUGUGAUUGGUGGUAGGGACCUAGCCACGUGCCUUCUUCCGGGCUGUGACAGUCAAACUGAUAAGAUCUGAUUGCUUC